rnacentral:rRNA from 1 species
GACGAACGCUGGCGGCGUGCUUAACACAUGCAAGUCGAACGGAAAGGCCCUGCUUUUGUGGGGUGCUCGAGUGGCGAAAGGGUGAGUAACACGUGAGUAACCUGCCCUUGACUUUGGGAUAACUUCAGGAAACUGGGGCUAAUACCGGAUAGGAGCUCCUGCUGCAUGGUGGGGGUUGGAAAGAUUCGGCGGUUGGGGAUGGACUCGCGGCUUAUCAGCUUGUUGGUGGGGUAGUGGCUUACCAAGGCAUUGACGGGUAGCCGGACUGAGAGGGUGACCGGCCACAUUGGGACUGAGAUACGGCCCAGACUCCUUCGUGAGGCAGCAGUGGGGGUUUUUGCACAAUGGGCGGAAGCCUGAUGCAGCAACGCCGCGUGCUGGAUGACGGCCUUCGGGUUGUAACCCGCUUUCGCCUGUGACGAAGCGUGAGUGACGGUAAUGGGUAAAGAAGCACCGGCUAACUACGUG